UACGGGGGGGGGCAAGCGUUGUUCGGAAUUACUGGGCGUAAAGGGCUCGUAGGCGGCCAACUAAGUCCGACGUGAAAUCCCCAGGCUUAACCUGGGAACUGCGUCGGAUACUGGAUGGCUUGAAUCCGGGAGAGGGAUGCGGAAUUCCAGGUGUAGCGGUGAAAUGCGUAGAUAUCUGGAGGAACACCGGUGGCGAAGGCGGCAUCCUGGACCGGCAUUGACGCUGAGGAGCGAAGCCAGGGGAGCAAACGGG
rnacentral:rRNA from 1 species